rnacentral:lncRNA from 1 species
AAUCACGAUAUCGCUUAAUCAGCAUUCCGAAUCAAGGAAGAAAUGUUGUUUAUGCGACGGGAUAAAGUUUUGACUUUUGAAUGGAAAUUGCUGGCCAAAAUCGCAUUCCAAAAUCGAGGAGAGGAAUAUUGUUUAUGCCGUCUGGCGCUUUAAUUUAUUCUUGACUGUUGGCUGAGAUUGAAGCGAUUUGCUUCGCUCUCUCGCCAAGUUCCGCUUAUUACUUGGAAAGGAUCCAACCGUGAAUUUACCAAGUCGAAAUUAAUCGACAAAACCGCAGCAUUUGUAAUAGAAUUAAUGACAGUGUCUUCAGUACAUUGUACAUUGUCCUAGUGAAGAAAGCUUUUGUAAUCUUUUGAAUUAUUUUUUAUAAUUUUCACAUUUGGAAUUCUUUAGGUGCAAGGAACACAAACCUAUUUAUACUAUCUAGGAUAUUAACGCCGCUACGAGAGUUAAGUUUUCUAAGUUCUUUUAGGCGAACAAAAUUUAAUCCAGCCUGCCAUACAGUUCUUUAAAGCUCUCUGGCACAUGUAGGCUAUUUUUCGGAACCAUUUAGACCUACUCGGCCAUCACUUGCUUGAGAAUAGCCGCUUCAUAUCAUAUCAUAUUAGGGUAAAUUAUUUGAAUACAUUCAAGAUGUACAUAAAAAAUCGAAAAAUACUGCAGUAGUACUUGUACGUGUCGUUUGUGGCGCUGCUAAAAAAGCAGACGAAUUCAAAAGUGUCAUAGCAUAGUAUGUUACAUGUUUUGGUUCAACAGAACGUUCUUGAUUAUAAUUUACUUUGGACAAUUAAUUAGUCUAUCUUAUUUAAUUCAUAUCAAUGGUGAGCCGGACUAGUUUUAUGGUGUUAUACUUAACAACGACAUCAUACUGUUUCACGUGAUUUUUUUGUGUUAUUUUCGGGAAAUAGUAUAGAUGAGCGCCACGUGUUUCAUUUUGCAUUACUUGAUGGGAAAAGUUCAGUUAAUACCGGCUAACUUCAAACUUUUCCCUUUUACAACUGUUUUAUCAAUUUCGAGAAGUCCCUGAUGAGAAAUGGCUUACCACACCUACAGUACUGUGUUGGUGGUAUCUUUUCUUUAAGGUACUGCAACAGCUAACAGGCUUUUAACUCCAGAAACUGUUUGAAUAGUCCUAUUUAUUUGCAAUUUCAAUAAUUGUCAACUGAUUUUCUUAAUAUAUUUUGUAGCAAAGAAUCGGAUUUGACAUUCCUCGUGUUGCACUGCAGAGCGCAUUCAUUCUAUUGAACCCAAAACACUUGGACUUGGACUGAGGCCUCUGAUCAUUUGAAAAUGUGUAAAUAUUUGGGAAGCCAAAACGUUUCUGACAUGUGAGUUUCCUUGGCGUUUCAGGGAUUCCGACAGCAUUAUCCCCAAUGACAGAAGGAUUAUUGAGAUUGACAGAAUGAUUAUCCCGGGAUUUUAAAUGGAAUUUUUCCAUUACAAGUUCCAUUACCCAGUUGGCCUUACUUUAAAGUUUUAACCAGUUUUAUCAAGAGAUCCAACUCGCUCUACUCGAGACAGGUUUCACCAGGGAUUCGUUUCUUAAUCGAGAAGGUCAUCCUGAAGUGCGUAGGAGUCUGAGAAAUCAAUUGUGAAUCGUCAUCAAUUUGGAUCAUCCGCAAACCGCCGACUCGUGAAGCAUUUCGCCAACACCUUCAACCAUCGCCUUACGGUUCGACGCCAACAUGGCACCGUAUUAUUGCGAAUGGACGUCAGGCCCUGUUAUUUCUCCCGAUUCCCAAGAAUACUAGGUGCUCUGGAAGGAAAUUAAUCCUGCACAAGAAGUGACAAGCAGAAUAACUGAAGUAAAGACCUUUACUUAAUCAACGUGGAUAUACUUCUACUUGCGGGCGUCAACUUGUAACGUUGCCUUAAUAAUUGUAAGUAAUCCAGAAGCUCCUUUCCAAAUAACUUGCUCAAGUACAUAGAAAUCAUCUUUGGUCGAAUUUUGAUCGACUGUGUUACAAAAGCUUUUAAAAUAGGGUUACUUAUAGGAAGUGUAAUUUUAUCAGGGAAUUGGGACGAAUUCAUUGAUAAUUCAGUUCCUUCGUUUAUUUUAUUGCAUUUUAUGGCACUAUUAUUUUUUCGUUUUAUUUUUUAAUCUGUGUUGCUUUUCCCUACCGU